rnacentral:rRNA from 1 species
CUCAAAGGAAUUGACGNGGACCCGCACAAGCGGUGGAUGAUGUGGUUUAAUUCGAUGCAACGCGAAAAACCUUACCCACCUUUGACAUGUACGGAAUCCUUUAGAGAUAGAGGAGUGCUCGAAAGAGAGCCGUAACACAGGUGCUGCAUGGCUGUCGUCAGCUCGUGUCGUGAGAUGUUGGGUUAAGUCCCGCAACGAGCGCAACCCUUGCCAUUAGUUGCUACGAAAGGGCACUCUAAUGGGACUGCCGGUGACAAACCGGAGGAAAGUGGGGAUGACGUCAAGUCCUCAUGGCCCUUAUAGGUGGGGCUACACACGUCAUACAAUGGCUGGUACAGAGGGUUGCCAACCCGCGAGGGGGAGCCAAUCCCAUAAAGCCAGUCGUAGUCCGGAUCGCAGUCUGCAACUCGACUGCGUGAAGUCGGAAUCGCUAGUAAUCGCGGAUCAGAAUGUCGCGGUGAAUACGUUCCCGGGUCUUGUACACACCGCCCGUCACACCAUGGGAGCGGGUUCUGCCAGAAGUAGUUAGCCUAACCGCAAGGAGGGCGAUUACCACGGCAGGGUUAGUGNCUGGGGUGAAGUCGUAACAAGGUAACC